GUGCCUAUGGUGUAGUGGUAGCACAGAAGCUUGUGGAGCUUUUAGUUCCGGUUCGAUCCCGGAUAGGCACCCUA
rnacentral:tRNA from 1 species